GCGGAAGUGGCCGGGGCGACGGGCCUGAGGUUUAGGAAUGAAGAGGAUACAAUGAAGAAAGUGAAAAGCCACCCCACAGAAUGAGAGAAAAAACCUUGUCUGUAACUGACAGUCAGGAGGUACCUGCCUGGGCUUCCCUGGUGGCGUGGUGGUUAAGAAUCCGCCUGCCGAUGCAGGGGACACGGGUUCGUGCCCCGGUCCGGGAAGAUCCCACAUGCUGCGGAGCAACUAUGCCCAUGCGCCACAACUACUGAAGCCUGUGCUCCGCAACAAGAGAAGCCACUGCAAUGA